rnacentral:rRNA from 1 species
CCUACGGGUGGCUGCAGUAGGGAAUCUUCCACAAUGGGCGAAAGCCUGAUGGAGCAACGCCGCGUGGGUGAAGAAGGUCUUCGGAUCGUAAAACCCUGUUGUUAGAGAAGAAAGUGCGUGAGAGUAACUGUUCACGUUUCGACGGUAUCUAACCAGAAAGCCACGGCUAACUACGUGCCAGCAGCCGCGGUAAUACGUAGGUGGCAAGCGUUAUCCGGAUUUAUUGGGCGUAAAGGGAACGCAGGCGGUCUUUUAAGUCUGAUGUGAAAGCCUUCGGCUUAACCGGAGUAGUGCAUUGGAAACUGGGAGACUUGAGUGCAGAAGAGGAGAGUGGAACUCCAUGUGUAGCGGUGAAAUGCGUAGAUAUAUGGAAGAACCCCGAUUGCGAAGGCAGCUUGCUGCAGCGGAACUGACGCUGAUGCUCGAAAGCGCGGGUAUCGAACAGGAUUAGAUACCCCAGUAGUC